AUUUUAAGAGCCGCAGUACUUUAACUGGGCGAAGGUAGCAUAAUCAUUAGUCUUUUAAUUGAAGGCUUGUAUGAAUGGUCGGACAAAAGGAAUACUGUUUCUAUAAUAGAAAUUGAAUUUAACUUUUAAGUGAAAAGGCUUAAAUUUUCUAGAGGGACGAUAAGACCCUAUAAAACUUUAUAUAUAAGUGUUUUUUAUUUAAAUUAAGGAUAAAAAAUAAAAUACAACAUUAUAUUUUAUUGGGGCGAUAGAGGUAAAAGUUUUAGUAACUGUUUUAAAAAAUUACAGACAUUUUUGAAUUUUUUAUAAAUGAUCCUUUGUAAAGAUUAAAAGAUUAAGUUACUUUAGGGAUAACAGCGUAAUUUUUCUUGAGAGUUCUUAUCGAGAGAAGAGAUUGCGACCUCGAUGUUGAAUUAAAUUUUCUUUGUUAUGAAGGUGUAACAAAAGAGGGUCUGUUCGACCUUUAAAUAUUUA
rnacentral:rRNA from 1 species